GCCGAAAUAGCUCAGUUGGUAGAGCAACGCAUUCGUAAUGCGUGGGUCGGGGGUUCGAGUCCCCCUCUCGGCU
rnacentral:tRNA from 1 species